rnacentral:rRNA from 1 species
UACGUAGGGUGCAAGCGUUAAUCGGAAUUACUGGGCGUAAAGCGUGCGCAGGCGGUUAUGUAAGUCCGUUGUGAAAUCCCCGGGCUCAACCUGGGAACUGCAUCUGUGACUGCAUAGCUAGAGUACGGUAGAGGGGGAUGGAAUUCCGCGUGUAGCAGUGAAAUGCGUAGAUAUGCGGAGGAACACCGAUGGCGAAGGCAAUCCCCUGGACCUGUACUGACGCUCAUGCACGAAAGCGUGGGGAGCAAACAGG